rnacentral:rRNA from 1 species
AGCCCCCCUCAAGAUGAGAUUUCCCAGUAUGUAAGACCCCUUGAAGACGACGAGGUAGAUAGGCUGGGGGUGGAAGUGCAGCAAUGCAUGGAGCUGACCAGUACUAAUCGGUCGAGGGCUUAUCCAAAUA